UACGUAGGGUGCAAGCGUUGUCCGGAAUUAUUGGGCGUAAAGAGCUCGUAGGCGGUUUGUCGCGUCUGCUGUGAAAACCCGAGGCUCAACCUCGGGCCUGCAGUGGGUACGGGCAGACUAGAGUGCGGUAGGGAAGAUUGGAAUUCCUGGUGUAGCGGUGGAAUGCGCAGAUAUCAGGAGGAACACCGAUGGCGAAGGCAGGUCUCUGGGCCGAUACUGACGCUGAGGAGCGAAAGCGUGGGGAGCGAACAGG
rnacentral:rRNA from 1 species